CUUCGACACUCGGGGCAGUGCAACGCCCCCAUCCCCAGCUCGCAUUCGCACAAGCGCCGCGGACAGACGACCUCUGUCGGUCUCUCUAGGAGGUGGGGCUUUUCUGCUCAUAGAUGCUCAUCAUACGCAGAGCAACGCACAGGAAAGUAACCCCACGUACACGAUUGCGCGCAUAGACGCGACGCACACACACUUCUACGCUUCGCUUUAUACUGUGUAUAUUGCCUUCAUCACAGCCCAUAGAUCACGACUGCCUCGUGCUUAUCCUCCUCUUUCUCCAUGCACUGCGACCCCUCCCUCCCACACACACGCGCUUUUCUCGAGCUUCGCCUGCGCACUGCACACAGACAUUGUUUGCAAGCCGCAUCACCUAUUCGCUCGCGGAUUUUUAUUUGUCAGCUGUGGCCCCUACCCGCACCCCUCACCGCUUCGCUCAUUCGCAGCUGGCCAUGGCUGACCGCACACAUCCGCUCCGGUCGCACACAAAGGUCCUCGCGGCCGUGAAGCCGAACCUGGAAACGCGCAAGAAUCACCAGCUUGACCUGAGUGGGCCGCGACGCAGCAACAGCGACGCGGAAGAUCAUCACGGGGAGAACAGAAGUUCGGAAGAGGAUGCGAAGACGACUCGCGAGCCGCAGGAGCACUUGCAUAGCCGCGGCGAAGCACAUGCAGGCUUCAAGCCCCUCUCUUCAUUCUCCUCUGCCGCAGCGAGCGCAGGCCCCACCUGCCUCGUCUCCUUCACGGGUUUCCGUGACGAGGAUGAGUGGGGAGAGAACGGCGAUGAGGGCAACGACGCGUAUGGCAACCCCUUUGCGCACGCCGCAGGCGGUGAUGCGAUACCUUGUGCGGAUUCGCUCUCUGUGUGCACGCAGAUGGUCUCCGUACUGCCAGGGGUUCGGGUCGAAUCGAAGCUGACGAGCUCUACAACCGUCUUGGUGGCUCGGCGCGGCUUCACAAGGAAGCGGCUGCUCGCCGCUCGUCAAGGAAUACCAGUGGUGCUGCCGAAGUGGGUGGCGAUGGGAUGCCCAGCGCUGCCCACCAGCGGUGGCGUUUGUGGUGCCAGCGGGGCUGCCUCUGCCUCCCUCCAUGACCUGUAUGCCGUGCCAUGGCUGUAUGGGUACGCCUUUUCCACAACUGGGCUGUCAACGUCGGAGAAGGCGGCGAUAGACAGCGUGUGCACCGCGCACGGGGCGGUUGUAGAGCCCUCUCUCACGUACAAGUGCGACGUGCUGCUAACUAGCGCGGAGUGCGUGCAGGCACUUCAGCGACUUCUCCGUGCUGACCGAGAAGGUGAUGCGGCACAAAGACGCCUUAACCAGCGCCUACGGCACGCAGCGAUGCAGCGCGCUAACGCGGGGCUGAUGGAAAACUCAGGUCCGGAGAUGGCGCCACCUGGCCGUCGUGGUGGCGCGCCCAAGGCAGCGUGGCUGACCGACAAGGUGCGCUUUGCGCUGGAGCUCGACGUCCCGGUGGUGGACUACGUCAAGCUGUUCACAAUGCUGCGUCUGGACCGCCUGCCUCCGCCGACGUGGACGCACGGCAUAGCAGCGGUGAUGUACAAGUCGAGCACACAGACGCGCCGACCCUGCAACGACGACGCGGAAGACGGCCAACACCAGUACGCGGACGCGCUCGACGGCAGCGACUUCGACGCAAUUCUUGAAGUCUGUCGUGUGGGCUCACCAGCGGGGGGAAGCUCUGAGUGGACGCGCAUCCUCUCCGUCUUCGCCGACCGAGGUGACGCGUCGACAGCCAGCUGCGGUCUCCAGAGCGACGGAGGCGCGGCAGAUAACGGCAAGGAGGGCAGAACGUCCCCCAUCCCACUCGACAGCAUCGCCCUUCGGGGCGACUCUAGGCAGUCCUCCUCGUCCUGCACCGACUCGGCGUCGACGGUGUCCGACCCGGAUGCGUGGGAGGAGCUGCUGGGCUGCGCGCUGGCGUCCUCUCUCGACGAACAGCAGACUCGGCGUGCGGACGCGUACCCAGGUGUUAGCAGCUCGGCUGACGCCAUCAAUGCGGCCGACCAUCUCACGGGUACCACUCCCACGACAGCUACGGCUACGACUGCUACGACUACAAUAUCGCCGGCUUUACAAGCUGGCUUGGAGAGGCUGACAGUGAACACAGCCGAUGUAGAGGACCUCGCUAAUGCAGGCGCGGAGGAGCCGUCGACACUGCAGGUUGUCCUUCCGGACUACUACAGCGCAAACACCGGGCUCGGACUUCCUCCAGGUUCCUCAUCUCAGGGGUGUCAUGCUGGCCAAGAGUUGCUGACGGCGACAGUGGGUGCCAGCUGGGGCACCGCUGCUGUAGACCCGUCGCCUCGGUGGACGACAAACGCCCUCCUUCACCGUGAGCCCGCGCCACCGCGCCAGUCGAGCCGCACCGACGAGCUAAUCGCAUGUGAGCAGCGCGAUGGAGCGGAUGCAGCGGCGCUGGGGCAACGCACCGCUGAGUACUACGCCAUGCAUCGCAGCGCAGAGCGUUUUCCGCCGCAGCUGCCGGCGCGGGAUGCGGUACCGCAACACGCCGCUGCGAUGCGCCCUGACGACAGAGUGGCAGCGUUGUCGCAGACAUUCGCGGGCGGCGGAGAACUACUAGCCGCCACCCAGGAUUUGGUGGAGUCCUGCGUGGCGGCGGAUGAGCUGGACCUGGCAUCCGCGCAGCAGCUCGAUGCUUGCGAAACGAGAGUUCGCGGUGCCACCGCGGCACGCCGAGCUUCGCCGCUGCUCGCAAUGCAUCCGCCGUACCUCACCAUAUGCGUGCUCGGAUGCACCGAGCUGGAGCUGCGCAAGACAGCGCGAUGGUGUGAACAGUGCCGGCUGCUGCGCUCUCCUGUGCCAACAUCCGCCACAGAUAUCGUUCUUCUUGGGAGCCGCCUACUCACCAAGAAGCGGUAUACGAUGCGCCCCGCCGUCGAUUCACGCGACGACGAGAGAGGCACAAAGAGGGGCAAGAAGCGGCGGCCGCAGCGACCCGCACUCCGCCGCAGUGCCUUGUCAACUGGGAGCUUCGGCGCGAAUUGUCACCGUUGCGACCACGCUGGCCAUGGUGUGGCCGUGACCAUACGGUACUGGGAGAUGGACGCCGCGGUGGUGCGGACGCUGGCGGACGUCUGCGGUAUUCCACGGAGCCGCAUGGCCCCGCUCCGGUGGCUCGAGGACGCGGCGUCAGAGGCGCAAAAGGCCUGCGAAACGGCGAAGCUCGCAGCGAAAUCGGAGGCGGCGCAGCGGAGUGCUGCGCAUGGACGGACUGUUGACGGCAAAGGACGCUACACCGACACGUGUUGGACGGCAGUCACCACACCACCCGAAACGCUCGUUGGGCUACUAGAGGAGCACCUUGCGGCAGCGGCAGAGUCCGAGGCGAGUGCAGCACUGGCACGGCGGCCGCUCUUUCACGCGCUCCCGCCGCUCUCGCCCGAUGAACUACCGGACAUGGCAGACCUCAAGUACUACAUACGGGUGCGGCAGGCACCUGCCAUCUCGUGGGCAAGCAGCGCCACCCCCAUAGCGGCACAGGGGCUCCACGGCAUCGCAGCAGCAGCUGCAUCGGCUGGCUUGGAGUCGCGAAAGCAGGUAAAGGACGGCGAGAUGCACUACAGUGCGCGGCCGGAUCUGGGCAACUCUGCGAAGCAGCCGGCGUCCAGCAGCGCACCUGUAGAGGAGGACGACUCGCUGACAGCGGCAACGUCUGUAUCUGUGGUUUCAGUAACUGCACCGGCAUCCUCUAGUGUUCAGCAGCCUCUGCACGAGGAGAAGACUAGCCUCGGCGCCGAGGAUGCGCAGCAUUCCUACAAAGAAGCCUUGGAGACGGCAGUGCGUCGGUUCACUCAGCUCGUCGCGCUCUUCCGUGUCUCAGGCGACGGCGACGAAGCACAAGGGAGUGCCGGCGCUGCCGAGAUCGGCCGUGAAGGACGCGGCACGGUACUCGCGGCAUGCCAUUUCUGCUGCGUUGAAGGCGAGUACGCUCGCGUGGACUGGGCUGUGGUGCGUGGCCUCAUCCGCUACGGCGGCGGCCGAGUUGAGAAGCGAGCCGCACACGACUGGGAAACACUUUGGCAGCAGCAGCCUUCAGUGGCCGUGGCGGCUACAAGCGCUGGUGCGCAGCAGGAUCAGGAAGCGCAGCGCUUCGCGCGCGCGCUGCGCCGUGGCGUCGCGUAUGCAAGGCUCCGGCAAAAGCUGCGUCGUGUGAGGGGAGACGUCGAGACCGCACACCAGACCAGCCGCCAGGCCCGUGACAAAAUGCCCUCUGGGUGCAACGGCGCCGUGUGCGCGAGCGCCGACGCAGAGCAGGCGAACGCCGCCGAGGUGGCCCGCCUCACGGCCAAGCUGCAACUGAUGUCGCAUCUAUGCCAGCAGGCGCCGGUGCUGUGUCUGCUGCCGCACAGCUUCCAGCGCGCCGCCGGAGACGAGAGCGGCAUGGCUAGCGCUGCUGAUGCAACCGUCCGACGCAAGAAGGGCUUGCCAGGCCGCGCCGCAGCAGGGCCAGCGUCAGCUUACAAGCGCCUUCACGCUCUUCACCGCCUCCCUGCCGUGACGAUGGACUACGUGCUUGCAUGCCUCGCCGUCGGCUACUGCCUCAACCCGCACAGCUGCUUCCUAUUUGACAUGUCGAUCCCCAGCGCGCCGGACAUGCGCCUCUUUCACCACCAGCACGAACAGCGAGGAGGCGGUGGCGCACCCUCGCAGAAAGCCCCGGCACGGCACACGGGGACUCAGCUACGCCUCGACGUCGAGGGAAGCAUCACGCCCGAAGGCAAUGGUGACGAAGCGGGGCAACGGUCGCGCGCUGGUGCUGUGACCGCUGGCAACGGCUGUGUUGGCCAAGCUAGGGCGCCGCCGUACAGGCCGGCGCUUUCAAGCUGGGUGCUGGAGCGCCGUUACAGCAAAACCGACUCGGUGGGUGUGUGCAUAUCGGUCCUAUGGAAGCUUCCCACGCCGCCGGCUGCGGAGGGCGAGAGGUGCUGGUCGCGCGUUGAAGCAGCCUCUCCGUCGGCGACGACUGCCACCAUCGAGCCUCGUCUCACGCCCGAUGCAUCGCUGGUGCCGCUGCUCCGCGUGCUGCUUCUGGGGCUUCGCAACGCGGUCGGGGCCUUGGGCGGCCACGUCGCCGAUACCUUCUCGCCGUCGGCUGUCACGCACGUCGUGUCGGUAGACGUGGGCGGCAUUCUCUCUGGUACUAUCGGCGACGCGUUCACAAGUGACGUGGUGAGUAAAAGGGAUGCCGUGGUUGGCAGCAGUGACGGUGGCAGAUUUUUUCCGUACUGGCCGAUGGAGAGCAUCGAGAGCGUUGCGCGCUGCGCCGCGCGCGACGAGGUGUCGUUGGUGGGCCUCGAGUGGUUGGCAGCGUGCGUCGAAUGGGGCGCUUUCGUGGAUGAGGCGGGGUACGCGCCACCGGCCGACCUGCUCGCGCUCGUGCAGGUGGAGAAGCAGAAGGCUCUGCUUGCCUCCUCCCAGGCCGCUCGCACAGCGGUGCACCGACGAGCUGCACAGGCACAAAGGCCGCCGCCGCCGUGGCAAUCGCCGAACCACUGUCGCCCGAGCGAGCACCGGGGCCAUGUAGCCGCGCCCUCUCCCGCCGAUCCGGCGCCGUCUGGUGCUCUGGAGGCACACGAAGCUAGCCGUGCGCCGCACCUUGAGCAGCACCGCAAGCGGGUGGGGAUCCCGCCACGUGGCGCGUUGGAGUCGGGGGCGCCACACACACCGCCGCAUCCUCGGCUGCUGGACUACGGCCCAACGCCCGACAAAGGCGAUAAAGAAAUGGAAGAGCAUAAGGAGUGUCGCACACCGGUGAUGCGGCGCGUUUCCGGUGCGUCGACGACGUGGUGCGAUAGCGGCGUAGAGCCGUGCACGCCUCCCGUCAGAGACGCACCACCGCCAGGUAACGUCGCGCAACACCGUCAACAGUCUCCGCCGCCACAGCCUCUCUCCUCACCGGUGCCGCCUCCGCCUUGCUCGCAGACCCCGUCCGGCCCCCACUCCACCUCGCAAUCCAUGACCCUUCGUGCUUGCAGUGCCGGGACUCCGUCCGCUGGCGGCCAUGGCCACCACCUUCAGCAUCGCCGUCGCUACUCAUCAUCUGCUUCGCAGCACAACACCCGCUCGCUGCUCGAGCAGCAGGACGCGGAAGCUUACGUGGAGCACCUCGGCAACCUCUUCAACUUCUUCUCCCCAGGAUCCACGCCGCUGCCGUCAUCGGCGCAACGCUGGCGCGAGCGCUCAAUCGCCACGCACGCUGAUCCCGACGCCGGUACCCCGCAGCGACUGUGCAGCCCGCUCCUGCCGCACACUCCCUCGCAGUUACACCCGUCAAAGGUCACCUUUUCCCCUCGUGAGCCUCACCCGCACUGCGAGCGCAUGCGUGAGCGCGGCGCCUCCGGCACGUCAUCUUCGUCGGAGUGCACACAGGUGCUCACUCCAUCAAAGACGGGGGCAACGCUGCAGAUGACGGGAGCGGAGACAACGGGUUCCACGGUCGGUGCCAGCAAUGCCCUCUCAACGCCACGGCGUCGUACACUGCGUGGCGCUGCUGCUGCUGCUGCUGCCACGGCUGCCUACACCUCAUCAGCAACCAAGAACUCAGCCCUUUCAAGCCCCGACAAGCAGCGUCGCUGCACAGAAGAAGUUGCCAUCGGCAUGAAUAGCUCGGUAGCGGACUUGCAGAGGUCGAGGGCACUGGUAGAAGUUGUCAAUGGUCCCUAUGAUGUGGAAUCUGCUGCGCCGGAUGCAAGCGCGCCGCCUCCGCAGCGGUUCAUACUACCGAGCUUGCUAGGCGGAAGCACCGAGCUGAGUCGUGGCGGCACCGUCGAAGCAAAGGCCGAUGGCGUCAGCAGCACCACGACCAUCAGCUGUGAAGAAGCCGAUGCCAAGCAACGACAGCCGCAGGGCGGUGGCUGCACGGGGAGUGUGCGCGGCGCCCAAACACUGGACGAGCUCGCCGAAGGGAUGGGGCCGAGGUCGAUUGGAAUGGCUGCUGGGACUGCGCAGCAGCACCAAGCUCACAAACGUAGCCGUGCAGCUGGAGGGCAGCAGGACGCCAGCCACGCGCGCGUCCACGUGGCGCUGGAUGGGCCAUAUCACAGUGGGCCGGAGGCCUUCUCGUGGAUGCAUGAUGUUAUUCCCGACUCGCAACCGCAGCGGCAGGAUAUCGCGGUGGUGGCGUGCGCAGACGCGGAGCUCAUGAGCGGCGAUGUGCUGGUGCCCACCACCUUUAUCGCGGCAACAGCCGAGGUGUACGCGCCGACUCCUGCUGCGACGGCAGAGACCGCUGCUGGCUCAGGCCAUUGCAAGGACGCAGCCACCCGUCUGCUGGCCGGCGAUCGCGAAGAGGCGGAGCAUAAAGACGGCACGAAAGGCGUGUCUCCUGCACCAGACGUGAUUGACACAGCCACCGGUCUACCCAUUCCCAGGCCACUCACAGCAACAGGGCCGACAACAUCGUUGGAGCACACGGCUGUGCGCCCUCUUCUUGGGUCGUGUAGCGCGCCACGACGGCCCUCUUCGCCCCCGUAUCCGUCGACAACAAUCGUGGCGGAUGCCUAUGAAGGAGCGAGCAUCGUCGCGAACGCGGCCGAGGAGGAACAGCGAUGCGGAGCGCAAUGUGCGCACACCGACAGCAAUGCGCAGGGGCUUUCUCCGUGGUCCCGGCACCGGCCACUGAGCCUGUCACGUCGUCCCUCGCCCUCGCCGGCGCCGGCACCGUCACCGCUGCACACGGAGCCGACGGCCCUCGGCGCCGGUACCGCGGCCGCUGCUCUUCCCCGCGCGACGGUGGCGACAUCGUGCACAUAUGAGUGCCUGCGCAUCUAUGUGUUGCAUGACUUGCCAUACCGAGAAGUGCGUGUGCGCCGAUGCGAGGAGGCUCUCGAAGUCCUGACACGUCGCCGCGACGGGGUGGAGCCGAGACCGCCCAUCGGCGGAGGGCUGCGCACCGCAGAGCCCCCUGUGAAAGGGGGCGACCACUGCGGCAGCGUCGAUGUUGCCUCCGACCCCUCUCUACCUCCCACGGCCACGCAUCCUGCACCGCCUCUCCGCUUUGUUGCUCGCUGCGAGGACGCUGAUGUGGUGGUGACGCACCAAAUCAACCUCCGUGAAAGUGUCCUUGUGGCAGCAGCAGCCGGGUGCUGGGUGGUGCGGCCGGGGUUUCUGGAGUGCGUCGCCGCUGUCCUCAACGGUGCCUGCUGCUGGAGCGACAAGAGCAGAACCACCAGUUUCAUGCAGAAUCCAUGGCCCACGCUGCAGCUGCAGCCGCAACGGCACCUGGCCCUAGCCACGGCUGCCGCGGCGCCGGUGACGGCGGCGAAGAAGACGUCCGCACUCUGCGUGGCGCGCCUGCGCAAGGCCUUGCCUACAUACGAGUGGACCGCGGAGGUGCUGCCACGUGUACCGGCGUCGGGGUGCCCGCCGGAAAACGGCAGCAUGCUCCCGCUGCAGCGGGCGCUGGUGCAGCAGUGUCGUCGGCAACGGCAGAUGCGAGAGCAGGCAGCAGGCGGCAGCGUCGCAAGUGGGGAUGCGGGACAGCCGUUCGCCGCUAGCCGACCACGUCAGCGCCCCUUCGAGGGGAACAGCUUUGUUCUCUUGUCUUCUUUUCCUGCAGUAAAUAUGUUUCGGGCGCGCGGGACGCGAACGACCGAGGUGGGUGUGACGGAUGCGGAGAGCUGCGGCACAUCAUCGCGGGUGCGCGCCAUCGAGCGCAUCUUGGAGACCGGCGGCGGAUGCCUUUGCUGCAGUGUGCAGGUUGGUUCUGCAGCAGCAGACGAGGGGGAGAAGACGGAUGGAAUCACCGACAUUGUCGCCGCAUCCACGCACGUUCCGCCUGCCGCGCAACAGCGACUGCGGUGCUGCGUAUGUGCGCCAUCACUGCACGGGCAGGGCUAUGAGCCGCCGCGGCGCGGCCUCGCCUACACUUCCGCAGCGGUGGUGAUGGACGCGGCGCUCUACCAUGACCUCCUGUGGCUCAUUUGCUACCAGGUACACCGGAAGCCUUCUGAGACACUGUACGUGUUGCUCGAUGGAAGCCUCCUCGGCACUAGUGCAGACGACGAUCAUGCCGGCACCGUCGUGUACGUGUCACCGGCGCCACACACGGCUGUCACCGCUGGUGCUGCCGCUGCCGCUGGCGCGGGUCGCAAUGGCGAAGAGGCGGACAGCGCACGCCUGUUGGCCACGUCGUCCCUCUCCGAGCACGACCGCAUUUAUAAGAAGCGGCGCACCGAGGAUGUGGAGGCGCACAACAGUACCCAGCCAACUGCGGAGCCGGCAUCAGAGGCGGCGACCGUCGCAGCCGGUGCAUUUGCGGUCCCCACCACCUGCACGGUGGCGGCGUGGAUCUCUAGCUGGCUGCUCGCCUCCCCAAACGAUAGCAGUUUCUCAAAAGCGGGCGAUGGGCCACCACCGUGUCGCCGCGGCUAUGCGCCAGCUGCUGCGCAAGCGAUGCGAGGUCAUCUUUGUGCUUGCUGCGCGGCAGUGAGCGCGGUCGACGAUGAUGUGCGUGUGCCAAGCAGCGCCAGAGUGUCAUAUAACGUGGCGGAUGUUCCGUUUGCUGUGCCCUCCGUUCAAGAAGUGCAUCAGGCUUGCAUCGAUGUAGGUGGUGACACGAAGGCCGGGUCUCCGAUGUCUGCAAGCCGCGUAGCUGUCCGUCGUAUAGAGUUCCGAAGCACGGGCUGGGUCGGCGCUUGCGUGGCCGCGGGUGGUGCCGCUGUGAUGGCCGCCGCCACUGACGGUUGGAUGAGGGAGUGUGAGGCGCACACCCUCUGGGGAACCCUUUUCCUGGAAUGAUGCUGCUGCGAGAACUGCGACGAGGCGCGCGCACCUCCACACUUUUUUUUUCGCGGCAGUGCCGUUUUCGCAAGAGCUUU
rnacentral:misc_RNA from 1 species